rnacentral:lncRNA from 12 species
GGUCACUCACACGUAGCCGCUGGCGAAAGGCUCGUUGGAAUAAUCGCCGUCCUCGGCGGGAUCUGGGGGUCAGAGGUCACCCAGGGGUCACUCAGGGGUCACCCAGGGGUCACUCAGGGGUCACCCAGGGGUCACUCAGGGGUCACCCAGGGGUCACUCAGGGGUCACCCAGGGGUCACUCAGGGGUCACCCAGGGGUCACUCAGGGGUCACCCAGGGGUCACUCAGGGGUCACCCAGGGGUCACUCAGGGGUCACCCAGGGGUCACUCAGGGGUCACCCAGGGGUCACUCAGGGGUCACCCAGGGGUCACUCAGGGGUCACCCAGGGGUCACUCAGGGGUCACCCAGGGGUCACUCAGGGGUCACCCAGGGGUCACUCAGGGGUCACCCAGGGGUCACUCAGGGGUCACCCAGGGGUCACUCAGGGGUCACCCAGGGGUCACUCAGGGGUCACCCAGGGGUCACUCAGGGGUCACCCAGGGGUCACUCAGGGGUCACCCAGGGGUCACUCAGGGGUCACCCAGGGGUCACUCAGGGGUCACCCAGGGGUCACUCAGGGGUCACCCAGGGGUCACUCAGGGGUCACCCAGGGGUCACUCAGGGGUCACCCAGGGGUCACUCAGGGGUCACCCAGGGGUCACUCAGGGGUCACCCAGGGGUCACUCAGGGGUCACCCAGGGGUCACUCAGGGGUCACCCAGGGGUCACUCAGGGGUCACCCAGGGGUCACUCAGGGGUCACCCAGGGGUCACUCAGGGGUCACCCAGGGGUCACUCAGGGGUCACCCAGGGGUCACUCAGGGGUCACCCAGGGGUCACUCAGGGGUCACCCAGGGGUCACUCAGGGGUCACCCAGGGGUCACUCAGGGGUCACCCAGGGGUCACUCAGGGGUCACCCAGGGGUCACUCAGGGGUCACCCAGGGGUCACUCAGGGGUCACCCAGGGGUCACUCAGGGGUCACCCAGGGGUCACUCAGGGGUCACCCAGGGGUCACUCAGGGGUCACCCAGGGGUCACUCAGGGGUCACCCAGGGGUCACUCAGGGGUCACCCAGGGGUCACUCAGGGGUCACCCAGGGGUCACUCAGGGGUCACCCAGGGGUCACUCAGGGGUCACCCAGGGGUCACUCAGGGGUCACCCAGGGGUCACUCAGGGGUCACCCAGGGGUCACUCAGGGGUCACCCAGGGGUCACUCAGGGGUCACCCAGGGGUCACUCAGGGGUCACCCAGGGGUCACUCAGGGGUCACCCAGGGGUCACUCAGGGGUCACCCAGGGGUCACUCAGGGGUCACCCAGGGGUCACUCAGGGGUCACCCAGGGGUCACUCAGGGGUCACCCAGGGGUCACUCAGGGGUCACCCAGGGGUCACUCAGGGGUCACCCAGGGGUCACUCAGGGGUCACCCAGGGGUCACUCAGGGGUCACCCAGGGGUCACUCAGGGGUCACCCAGGGGUCACUCAGGGGUCACCCAGGGGUCACUCAGGGGUCACCCAGGGGUCACUCAGGGGUCACCCAGGGGUCACUCAGGGGUCACCCAGGGGUCACUCAGGGGUCACCCAGGGGUCACUCAGGGGUCACCCAGGGGUCACUCAGGGGUCACCCAGGGGUCACUCAGGGGUCACCCAGGGGUCACUCAGGGGUCACCCAGGGGUCACUCAGGGGUCACCCAGGGGUCACUCAGGGGUCACCCAGGGGUCACUCAGGGGUCACCCAGGGGUCACUCAGGGGUCACCCAGGGGUCACUCAGGGGUCACCCAGGGGUCACUCAGGGGUCACCCAGGGGUCACUCAGGGGUCACUCAGUGGUCACUCAGAGGGGUCAGUGGUCACUCACAGUGGUCAGUGGUCAAUGGUCACUCACAGAGGUCAGAUGUCACUCACAGUGGUCAGUGGUCAGUGGUCAGUGGUCACUCACAGUGGUCAGUGGUCACUCACAGGGGUCACUCACAGGGGGCAGGGGUCACUCAGGGGUCAGUGGUCACUCACUGGGGUCACUGGUCACUCAGGGGUCAGUGGUCACUCAUAGCGGUCAGGGGUCACUCUAGGGGUCAGUGGUCACUCACAGGGGUCACUCACAGGGGGCAGUGGUCACUCACAGGGGUCAGUGAGGGACUGGGGUCAGUGGUCACUCAGGGGUCACUCAGGGGUCAGUGGUCACUCCAGGGGUCACUCACAGGGGGCAGUGGUCACUCAGGGGUCAGUGGUCACUCAAGGGGUCACUCCAGGGGUCAGGGGUCACUCAGGGGUCAGUGGUCAGUGGUCAGGGGUCACUCCAGGGGUCAGUGGUCACUCACAGGGGUCACUCACAGGGGGCAGUGGUCACUCAGGGGUCAGUGGUCACUCAGGGGUCAGUGGUCACUCCAGUGGUCAGUGGUCACUCACAGAGGUCAGAUGUAACUCACAGAGGUCAGUGGUCACUCACAGCGGUCAGUGGUCAGUGGUCACUCACAGCGGUCAGUGGUCACUCCAGGGGUCAGUGGUCAGUGGUCACUCACUGGGGUCAGUGGUCAGUGGUCACUCACAGAGGUCAGAU